CACGUAGGGUGCGAGCGUUGUCCGGAAUUAUUGGGCGUAAAGAGCUCGUAGGCGGCUUGCCGCGUCGACCGUGAAACCUCACAGCUCAACUGUGAGCCUGCGGUCGAUACGGGCAGGCUAGAGUUCGGUAGGGGAGACUGGAAUUCCUGGUGUAGCGGUGAAAUGCGCAGAUAUCAGGAGGAACACCGGUGGCGAAGGCGGGUCUCUGGGCCGAUACUGACGCUGAGGAGCGAAAGCGUGGGGAGCGAACAGG
rnacentral:rRNA from 1 species